UUGGCGUGAUGAGUGAUCGCGAGAAAUCGAGGAAAGUCCGAGCUGUGCUAAGACAAGGCUCCAUCUAACAGAUGGCUAUGGUAACAUAAGGGAUAGUGCAACAGAAAGAAGACUUCCACAUUUGUGGUAAAGGUGAAACGGUAGAGUAAGAGCCUACCAGUGUUUAUGGUAACAUAAACAGCUAUGUAAACCCAGCUUGCAGCAAGAAGGGGUGGUAAAGUCUUAGAAUGAUACCCUUCGCUUGAGCUAAAUUGCAAAAUUUAGUCUAGAUAAAUGAUCACUUGAAAAACAGAACUCGGCUUAUAGUCACGCCAAUUUA
rnacentral:RNase_P_RNA from 1 species